CUCACAAUCUUCCACUAUCUCCUUCGAUUGAACCUUAGAGUUUGCAUUUUCCACUGCAUGCACAGGUGAUUUCGACUGAAAUUUUUCAGGCAAAAAGCUUCCAAAUGUCAAGGGUUCAAGUUCCUUCGCAGUUCCUUGCUCUGGCGUGACGAUCUGUGGAGGAGUAGGUACGAUUUGCCGCCGGCGACGCGCCAUUAUCGACGGAAUUAGCAGCGUGCUAACGUGCGCAUUCAAGCGCACUGUUCCAUCUUAACGUGCGCCCAGCUAUGAUCUUCUA
rnacentral:lncRNA from 1 species